AACGCGAAGAACCUUACCAGGGUUUGACAUGUAGGUAGUAGAAAGCUGAAAGGCCGACGAUCCGGUAGUAAUACCGGAAGCUUACACAGGUGCUGCAUGGCUGUCGUCAGCUCGUGUCGUGAGAUGUUGGGUUAAGUCCCGCAACGAGCGCAACCCUUACUUUUAGUUGCCACCAGGCCGCAAGGCGCUGAGCACUCUAGAAGAACUGCCCUGUAUAACGGGGAGGAAGGUGGGGAUGACGUCAAGUCCUCAUGGCCUUUAUACCCUGGGCUACACACGUACUACAAUGGCCGGUACAACGAGUCGCCAACCCGCGAGGGGGAGCUAAUCUCUUAAAACCGGCCCCAGUUCAGAUUGGAGGCUGCAAUUCGCCUCCAUGAAGUUGGAAUCGCUAGUAAUCGCGGAUCAGCUAUGCCGCGGUGAAUACGUUCCCGGGCCUUGUACACACCGCACGA
rnacentral:rRNA from 1 species